rnacentral:rRNA from 1 species
UACGAAGGGGGCUAGCGUUGCUCGGAAUUACUGGGCGUAAAGGGCGCGUAGGCGGACAGUUUAGUCAGAGGUGAAAGCCCAGGGCUCAACCUUGGAAUUGCCUUUGAUACUGGCUGUCUUGAGUUCGGGAGAGGUGAGUGGAAUGCCGAGUGUAGAGGUGAAAUUCGUAGAUAUUCGGCGGAACACCAGUGGCGAAGGCGACUCACUGGCCCGAUACUGACACUGAGGCGCGAAAGCGUGGGGAGCAAACAGG